UCGCCCGCCCGCGCCCCGCGCCCGUCCCGCCGCCCCCGCCCGCCUACGGGAGGCAGCAGUGGGGAAUAUUGGACAAUGGGCGCAAGCCUGAUCCAGCCAUACCGCGUGGGUGAAGAAGGCCUUCGGGUUGUAAAGCCCUUUUGUUGGGAAAGAAAUCCAGCUGGCUAAUACCCGGUUGGGAUGACGGUACCCAAAGAAUAAGCACCGGCUAACUUCGUGCCAGCAGCCGCGGUAAUACGAAGGGUGCAAGCGUUACUCGGAAUUACUGGGCGUAAAGCGUGCGUAGGUGGUCGUUUAAGUCCGUUGUGAAAGCCCUGGGCUCAACCUGGGAACUGCAGUGGAUACUGGGCGACUAGAGUGUGGUAGAGGGUAGCGGAAUUCCUGGUGUAGCAGUGAAAUGCGUAGAGAUCAGGAGGAACAUCCAUGGCGAAGGCAGCUACCUGGACCAACACUGACACUGAGGCACGAAAGCGUGGGGAGCAAACAGGAUUAGAUACCCUGGUAGUCCACGCCCUAAACGAU
rnacentral:rRNA from 1 species